AGGUAUCUUCGGGGCAGGUGAAAAUCCUGACCGGCGGUUAAAGCCGCGACUCCUAAUGUAUAUUAGGACUGAUUUGGUGAAAUUCCAAGGCCGACGGUUAAAGUCCGGAUGGGAGAAGAUCAAU
rnacentral:ncRNA from 2 species